rnacentral:lncRNA from 1 species
ACAAGCAAGCUGAUAUUGAUAAUUUGUUGUAGCAUUUAGGUUCUAUCUACUACCUAAUAUAGAGACAUAUUCCUUGAAAUUAAAAGCUGAAUAUUACUAUGUUUGUCUCCACAUAAAAAUGAACCAUUAAAAUCUGCAACUAUUUCAUGAGUUAUUUAGCAGCUCCAAUACAUCUCGAAAAGCACUAUGAGUUCUCCUUCUAAACUUCUUUCUCUUC